rnacentral:rRNA from 1 species
AGGGUUUGAUUCUGGCUCAGGAUGAACGCUGGCGGCGUGCCUAACACAUGCAAGUCGAGCGAAGCGAUCUGAUGGAAGUUUUCGGAUGGAAGUCAGAUUGACUGAGCGGCGGACGGGUGAGUAACGCGUGGGUAACCUGCCUCAUACAGGGGGAUAACAGUUAGAAAUGGCUGCUAAUACCGCAUAAGCACACAGGACCGCAUGGUCCGGUGUGAAAAACUCCGGUGGUAUGAGAUGGACCCGCGUCUGAUUAGCUAGUUGGUAAGGUAACGGCUUACCAAGGCGACGAUCAGUAGCCGACCUGAGAGGGUGACCGGCCACAUUGGGACUGAGACACGGCCCAA